AGAGUUUGAUCAUGGCUCAGAACGAACGCUGGCGGCGCGUUUUAAGCAUGCAAGUCGAACGGUAUACAUAGCUUGCUAUGUAGAGAGUGGCGAACGGGUGAGUAACACGUAGGUAAUCUGCCUCUGGAUGGGGGAUAGUCCACGGAAACGUGGCGUAAUACCGCAUGAUCUCUAUACGUAUAAAGCGUGUAGAGGAAAGGUGCAAUUGUACCGUCUAGAGAUGAGCCUGCGGUUCAUUAGCUAGUUGGCAGGGUAAAGGCCUACCAAGGCGACGAUGAAUAGCCGGCCUGAGAGGGUGAACGGCCACACUGGGACUGAGACACGGCCCAGACUCCUACGGGAGGCAGCAGCUAAGAAUCUUCCGCAAUGGGCGAAAGCCUGACGGAGCGACGCCGCGUGGACGAGGAAGGCCGAAAGGUUGUAAAGUCCUUUUCUUAGGGAAGAAUAAAGCGAAGAGUGGAAUGCUUCGCAGAUGACAUUAACUGAGGAAUAAGCCCCGGCCAAUUACGUGCCAGCAGCCGCGGUAAUACGUAUGGGGCGAGCGUUGUUCGGAAUUAUUGGGCGUAAAGGGCGUGUAGGCGGUUUUAUAAGCCUGGUGUGAAAUCCCACAGCUCAACUGUGGAUCCGCGCUGGGAACUGUAAGACUAGAGUUUAGGAGGGGAAGCUGGGAAUUCCUGGUGUAGGGGUGAAAUCUGUAGAUAUCAGGAAGAACACCGAUGGCGAAGGCAAGCUUCUAGCCAUAGACUGACGCUGAGGCGCGAAAGCGUGGGGAGCGAACAGGAUUAGAUACCCUAGUAGUCC
rnacentral:rRNA from 1 species